AGGUCCCGCCUGCCCUGUGACCACAAGUUUAACGGCCGCGGUAUUUUGACCGUGCAAAGGUAGCGUAAUCACUUGUCUUUUAAAUGAAGACCUGUAUGAAUGGCAUAACGAGGGCUAAACUGUCUCCUUUUCCCAGUCAAUGAAAUUGAUCUCCCCGUGCAGAAGCGGGGAUAUAAACAUAAGACGAGAAGACCCUAUGGAGCUUAAGACACAAGGCAGCUAAUACUAAAUACCCCCAUAAAAGGAAAAAUUCUAUUUAGCUCUGCCCUCAUGUCUUUGGUUGGGGCGACCGCGGAAGAAUAAAUAUCUCCCACGUGGAAUGGGGUAAGACCCUUAAAAUUAGAGCCACAGCCCUAAUAAACAGAAUAUCUGACCUAAAAGAUCCGGCACAGCCGAUCAACGGACCAAGUUACCCUAGGGAUAACAGCGCAAUCCCCUUUAAGAGCCCUUAUCGACAAGGGGGUUUACGACCUCGAUGUUGGAUCAGGACUUCCUAAUGGUGCAGCCGCUAUUAAGGGUUCGUUUGUUCAACGAUUAAAGUCCU
rnacentral:rRNA from 1 species